AUUGAACGCUGGCGGCAUGCUUUACACAUGCAAGUCGAACGGUAACAGGUUAAGCUGACGAGUGGCGAACGGGUGAGUAAUGCAUCGGAACGUGCCCGGUCGUGGGGGAUAACGCAGCGAAAGCUGCGCUAAUACCGCAUACGAUCUGAGGAUGAAAGCGGGGGACCGUAAGGCCUCGCGCGAUCGGAGCGGCCGAUGUCAGAUUAGGUAGUUGGUGGGGUAAAGGCUCACCAAGCCAACGAUCUGUAGCUGGUCUGAGAGGACGACCAGCCACACUGGGGCUGAGACACGGCCCAGACUCCUACGGGAGGCAGCAGUGGGGAAUUUUGGACAAUGGGCGAAAGCCUGAUUCAGCAAUGCCGCGUGCAGGAAGAAGGCCUUCGGGUUGUAAACUGCUUUUGUACGGAGCGAAAAGGUCUCCUCUAAUACGGGGGGCUCAUGACGGUACCGUAAGAAUAAGCACCGGCUAACUACGUGCCAGCCGCCGCCGUAA
rnacentral:rRNA from 1 species